ACAGUACAAAUUUCUCUAAUGUCUGUUUUGUUUAAUUUUUCCAGUUCAGUUUUGUUUGGUAUGUUUAUUGUUAUUUUUAUUACUGUUUCUCGCUUCAAGAGGAAGAUAUUGUAGUUCUUUUAAGAGGUUUGGAUCUCAAAAUCUACUGCAACAAACCCCAAAUUAUCAAUUUCUUCCGUGAUAUCCUGGGCUUGGAUUCGUUUUUAUUUCGAAUUAUUUAGUUACUCCUUUCUAUAGGUUCUAAUAAGAUUUGUAAAAUUGUUACAAUUUAGGGUCUUAGGUUUGGGCAGAGUUAGGGUUUUCUUGGAUUUGCAAAAUCUGGGGUUUUCUACUGCUCAUUCUCAUCCAUUAACGGUCCUAAUAAGAAUAUAUUCAAAUUUUAGGAUGCCGUUUACUGAAACUUGAGGGAAUUCUUAGCAUGUUGCACUGUUGAAACUUGAAGGAACGGAGUGCUGAAACCAUCUCUAAAGGAGAGGCUUCUUUCCCAUUCAAGGCUGAGAAAAACGAAGAGGUAGGAUGCAGAUUGAGAAGACGUAAUUGAAAAGAUGCUGCAAGAGCAACCAAAAGGAAAUACACCGGCAAAGAUGGACUAUCCCCUGUUUGAUUACCUUGAUCCUCUAAAGGCUCGUCAAAAGAUGAUCAAGACAAGGAUUCUAAAGCCUGGAAUUCUGGCAACCGUAAUCCAUUGAAGUGUAUGGCAUGGAUAUGCAUAUGAUGGAUGAGAAGAUGCUUGCAAAGAUAUCAAAGGAUCUCAUAGGAAUAUUCAAGACCCAGUUGGUCGAAGGAGACAUAAUCCAUUGAAAGAUGCUAUAGGAAUUGGAAAAGAGGGAAAUAGCAAUCCAAGAUACAAAGAAAUUCAAUGUCUAGAGCCAAAGGAGAAGAACGUAUGUAAGAUUGACUUUCAGAACCCAAACAAACUCAACAAUUACGAAAGAGUGGUAUCGGUUAUUGGUGAAACUCUUAUUCCUAUCAAGAAGGGCAUCUCAAUAAGCUGUUUUGGGCUUGGAGACGAUAAAGGGAGCAUAACACCAGCAGCACCUCCGGUUUUCCUCUAUCUCCUUCGGUUUCCUCUAUGUCAGGAUUCCCUUUGGUAAUUUGGUGAUAGACAUGCAAGUUACAUAUCGGUUAUAUUG